UCCUGAGGGGUAUCAAGACGUGGUGUGGUGCUGUAUGCAUUUUGCUGUGAUUUUCUUUUUAAUUCAUAGAUAUAAUGCAUGCUUCUUCUCAUUCUUGAAAUGUUUCCAUUGUUGUGCCUCUGGUAUUUAUUGUGCUUACUUGUCCACUGGAUAGAGAGGAGCAGUCAGAGGAAAGUGAUGUACCAAAGGCCAAGAGACGAGGAUGAUGAUGAUGAUGAUGAUGAUGAUGAUCUGCCACCAUCACACAGGGAAAGAGGCUCUAUGACAAGAAGAGAACCAAGAUGUUAAUGUCCCAAAAGUGUAUUGAACUGUCACCCCACAAGUUGUAAUUGGUCCAGGAAAAUGUGUUAUGUAAAUAUUUAGCGCACCAGGUGAAAUGCACUGCACAAGAAGCAUAUUUUUGUUUAGACAAAAGUUCAAGAAAAAAAGUUUUUGCAGUGAUACUGCCUUGCACUACCCAUUAUUUAUAAUUUUCAAAAAAAGAAAAAUGGGCUGAGAGGUUCUAGAUUGUUGUCAAAAGAA